CCAAAUCAUAGAUCAAGAUAUUUUAUUUAUGUAUGUCUUUUAAAUGAAGAGUGGUUAGGAUAGUUCUGAUUAUUGCACAUAAAUAUUGCCUUUCACUAGAUUAUUGUUUCGGGCCAAAUUUUAGACUAUUAUUUUAAAAAAGAGUAGCUUAGUUUAAUCCAACCUUUCCAGAUAUUUAGAAAUUAUUGAAAUGUAUAUUUUGUGAAGAUGGUCUUAUGAAAGUUGUUCAGCUAGGAACAUGUCCUUCACCAGUGGAAUUCUUAGAAGCUUUCCUUGGGCUUCACUGGGUGCUAAUAGACCAUGAUCGUAUUGCUCUGUAUAUAAUGGUACAAAUUUUGUUUUAUAACACUUAGUCUUAAUAGAAUGGGAAUAUUUUAUCUUACUAACGUAGUCAUUAGCUGGCCACUCUCUGUGUCCAUUGGACCUUAUAGGGUAAAGGGAGGGCAGUGCGUAUUUGAAGCCUGUGCACGUGACACACAAAGGGCUUAGCAACCUCCGUGUUUUCCCAGCACAGGAUACCCAUUCUUCCUGAAUGUUUCAUUGUUAAAUUAGAUUGUGUGUGUGUGUGUGUGUGUGUGAUUUUAUAUUAACAUACAGAUGUAUGUAUUUUAGUUGCGUUUUUUUUCUUAAAAUGUUAUUUUUUCUCUUUUUCUUUUAUGUCAGGUGAUGAUAGAGCCCCUAGGGAAGCGAAACUGUCCAUGCCCUUGCCUUAACUUUCAGAUACGAUAAAAACAACAUUUAUAAAAUACUUGUCUUAGAAAUAUUAGCUAAAAUUAUGUUGGGGAAAGUAUGUUUGAAAAUAGAAUUGUAAGCUACCACAUUGUGAUAAAUAUUACUAAAUUUGUUUAUUGACUUGUCAGGAAGCAAGAGAAUGAAUUAAAGAAAACUCCAGAGAAUGAGCUGACAACCUACUCCCUGGUCACUGGCUCUCCAUGCCUACCUGUGGUCUCUUGGACACCCUUGCAGAAGAUGACUUCCUGGGAACUCUUCUGGGAGUGAAUGUUAUCAGCAAAUUCCCAAAACAACACCCCUUAGACAAAAAGCCUCCUCACCUAUGCAUUGCCUAGACCACCCACUAAAGGUGAUGGCCACAAAGAGGUGGAUUUGUUGAGUUGGUGCCAUUCCUUCUACUGCCAGCUUCACCAAAACAAUGACACAGUCUUCCUUCUGCAUGGAGACUCUUCUCUUUCCUGUGUUGCAGUGGAUGCCUCCUGCAGAUAAGAAAUGCUUAACUGAGAAAUGCUCAUGUUGGGAUAUCAUCGAUGAGACUUUAAUUUGGGCAUGGUGACUGUUUCCCUUGCUGCCACUUGACUCAAUCCCAGGAGCCUCAGUAGAGGAUAUAAUAUUACACAAGAUGCUCAAAAUGGUGGAAUUGCUCAGUGCUCCCAUAAAUAUACAUUUAUAAUUUUCAUUUGCCACAUGGUAAACUGAAAAAUACAGACUAUAUUAAAAAGAAACUGCAUGAUUUUUUUUCAAAAAUUCAAAGCAUAUUUAAAUAAUAUAUAAAUUAAAUGCCCUCCUCUCUUCCAAUUCUGUCCCUAUACUUUUCCUCUAUUAAGUGAACUACAUGCAUUCUUUUAGUGGAUAGAUGCACACAAACACACAAGCCAUUAUGGGGAAGGAUCCACGUGUGUGGCCAUAUUGUAACACAUUUUUCUGCAAAUUACCUCUUUCAUUUAACAGCCCUUAUUCAAUGGCCUUUUUCUUUUUCAGUAGUACAUACACAUCUGUGUCAUUUGUUGAAUGACGACAUGAAUGUUUUGUAGAUAAAAUAUAAUUAAAUGUUUUAAGCAUUUCUCACUCAUAGAUAUUUAUGUUAGCACCAAAUUUCUGUGCAAUGAACCUCCCUAUAUAUCAGUAAUUUUGCAUUUGUCUAUAAUAUCAUAAUAAAUUACUUAUCAGUUGAAUUACUGGGAUUAAGUAUGUGCACACUUUAUAUUUAUAUUUUGAAAAUUAUUGCAAGAUUGCCUUCAAAAAUGUGGUUAACAACUUUAUCUUCAAAUGGCAAUGAAUGAGAUUGCCAGCUUUCCUACAACCUCACAGACAAUGGAUUUUAUAAAUAUUUAAC
rnacentral:antisense_RNA from 1 species